CAGCAGCCGCGGUAAUACGAAGGGUGCAAGCGUUACUCGGAAUUACUGGGCGUAAAGCGUGCGUAGGUGGUGGUUUAAGUCCGUUGUGAAAGCCCUGGGCUCAACCUGGGAAUUGCAGUGGAUACUGGGUAACUAGAGUGUGGUAGAGGAUAGUGGAAUUUCCGGUGUAGCAGUGAAAUGCGUAGAGAUCGGGAGGAACAUCUGUGGCGAAGGCGACUAUCUGGGCCAACACUGACACUGAGGCACGAAAGCGUGGGGAGCAAACAGGAUUAGAUACCCCCGUAGUCCCUGUCUCUUAUAC
rnacentral:rRNA from 1 species